rnacentral:rRNA from 1 species
GACGAACGCUGGCGGCGUGCUUAACACAUGCAAGUCGAACGGAAAGGCCCUGCUUUUGUGGGGUGCUCGAGUGGCGAACGGGUGAGUAACACGUGAGUAACCUGCCCUUGACUUUGGGAUAACUUCAGGAAACUGGGGCUAAUACCGGAUAGGAGCUCCUGCUGCAUGGUGGGGGUUGGAAAGUUUCGGCGGUUGGGGAUGGACUCGCGGCUUAUCAGCUUGUUGGUGGGGUAGUGGCUUACCAAGGCUUUGACGGGUAGCCGGCCUGAGAGGGUGACCGGCCACAUUGGGACUGAGAUACGGCCCAGACUCCUACGGGAGGCAACAGUGGGGAAUAUUGCACAAUGGGCGGAAGCCUGAUGCAGCAACGCCGCGUGCGGGAUGACGGCCUUCGGGUGGUAAACCGCUUUCGCCUGUGACGAAGCGUGAGUGACGGUAAUGGGUAAAGAAGCACCGGCUACUAAGUG